UACGGAGGGUGCAAGCGUUAUCCGGAUUCACUGGGUUUAAAGGGUGCGUAGGUGGGCAGGUAAGUCAGUGGUGAAAUCUCUGAGCUUAACUCAGAAACUGCCGUUGAUACUAUCUGUCUUGAAUAUAGUGGAGGUGAGCGGAAUAUGUCAUGUAGCGGUGAAAUGCUUAGAUAUGACAUAGAACACCGAUUGCGAAGGCAGCUCGCUACACUAUCAUUGACACUGAGGCACGAAAGCGUGGGGAUCAAACAGG
rnacentral:rRNA from 1 species